rnacentral:rRNA from 1 species
AUUGAACGCUGGCGGCAGGCCUAACACAUGCAAGUCGAGCGGAUGAAGGGAGCUUGCUCCUGGAUUCAGCGGCGGACGGGUGAGUAAUGCCUAGGAAUCUGCCUGGUAGUGGGGGAUAACGUCCGGAAACGGGCGCUAAUACCGCAUACGUCCUGAGGGAGAAAGUGGGGGAUCUUCGGACCUCACGCUAUCAGAUGAGCCUAGGUCGGAUUAGCUAGUUGGUGGGGUAAAGGCCUACCAAGGCGACGAUCCGUAACUGGUCUGAGAGGAUGAUCAGUCACCGUGGAACUUAGCAACGGCCCGACCUCAUGGGGAAGGCGCCGGGGGGAAUUUUUGAAGAAGGGGCAAAGGCUGGACCGAGCCAUGCGGGGUGUGUAAAGAAGGUCUUGGGAUUGUAAGCCUUUUUAAUUUGGGGGAAAGGGAAGUAAUUUAAUCCCUUCGUGUUUGGCCGUUACAAAAAAAAAAAGCCCGGCCACCCUUCGUC